rnacentral:SRP_RNA from 1 species
CUCGGAAGUCGGUGGACGGUGCUGUCGCCAACCCGGUCAGGUCGGGAACGAAGCAGCCGUAACGAAUUUGUACCGGGUCAUCGGCUUCCACCUUA